CUGAACGCUCACAGGCCCUCCGCCAGCGGGAACCACUGGACCCGAGAGGUCCGGGAGGAAGCCGACAUCUAUUAAGCUCUUACUGUGUGCCCAACAAUCUACAGGGGACCCUCUACCAAGGGUCUGGAAGUGGGAAUCUCUGCAUAGACCAUAAGGCUCUAGAAGCGGGGAAGUUUAAGGGGCUCUCGCAAGAGCUGGGAACUCCGGGUAACCAAUGGCCCACGGGUGAAAGUAAGCGAAGCUUCGUGGAACACCCCAACUCUGAGCUGGGACUACUGUCCCGUCCUGAGGAGAAACGAAGGGCGUGUGCGUUAGGAGCGCAGAGACCGAAAUGGCCUCAGUCUCCUGUCACUGCCCCGUCACGAUGCUGGGGAAUCUCCAGGCCAGUAACCCAGCCCCCACCCCCUCCCGCACACUCAGGGGCCGCUGGACAAAGACCUGACGGAGUGGGAGGGGCCUGCGGGCCGGCCCUCGGGCUCAGGCCGCGGGAUCCUUCUGGGACCCGAACCCGCAAAUCCUGGCUCCCACUCCCCAAGCCCGCAGACUCCCCGGAGUCCGCCGCUCACUAACACCACCACCUCCUCGGUUCCAGACCGGCCGGUGAAGCGGGUGCCCGUCGGCGGCCGAGGGGCGAUCUCAUCGCUAGUCGCCCCCUUCCUCCGGGGAAAUGACCCUGGGCUCCGACGCACCCUCUCGAGUCUCUCCCGGCCUUGCCCUCCGACCUCCGCCUAGUUGGGCCCCCUGUCCCUCAGCCCCCGCCCUCCCCGGGCCUCACACGGCCCUGCGCCCGCGGACAAAGCUCUGGACAUCGGACCGCACAGUCGCCACCCCCUGACCCCCGGCCCGCCCGCGCGCUCCCGCGCCUGCCCCUUCCCCGGCCUGAGACGCGUACCUCGGCAUCCCGGCCGGGUCCUAGGUCCGUGCUUCGGGGCUCUGCCGCCACCCUCUCUGAGACUUCCUUUCCUUCCGGGUGGCAGGCAGUUCAGCAAGAGCGUCCGUAGGAAUCACGCUGGAGGGGCUUCCUCUAACCUGCAGAACAGGCCUCUGACCUCCAAGUCUGGCAGAAUUCUAAAGACUAUCUCUUCACUUGCGAUCAUGUUUCCGGACACUCGCGGAUCCCACAGACACAGGCAGCUCUGUAGAUGCCAGGGAAAGGGAAGGCACAGGCCACCAAUCAUCCUUUUUGUCUUUUCUUUUUCAUUGUCUAAAUAUGGAAAUAAGACGAACAUCCAAUAAAGUUCUGAAAUUCA